rnacentral:lncRNA from 1 species
AUCUCUGUGACAAAAUCCCACAGGGGGUGAAAAAAAAAAGGCUCUUGUUCAAAAAAUUCAAGGAAGCUGGCCCUUCUUUCCUUCUCUCUCGUGUUGGACAUCCUUGUCCAUCUCCCAUCCCUUGGCAGGUAUUGGCCUAAAAGGUCUCUGAAAACUUGAAGCUCUCGUAGGCAUGAGGAGGGGUGCGGGAGGGGGGAUGUUUUUAAACCACUGACUCUUGUUGUUUCUGUUGAAGGGCACUCAGACCUCGUCUCUGUGUGUCUCUCUGGUUUUUCAUUUGACAAAGCAAAGCAUUGGGGCAUUUGUCCUGUUUGUGUGACUCCACAGAGAGCUCCAGGGUGAGUCCCCAGGCAGGAAAAGUCACUGACCGGUGUCUGAAAUCUGAGGACGUCUGGGGCCCGAGGCUGGGCGUUUAGAGCUACUACAAACAACAGCGCGUUCUUCGUAAAGUGAUUUGAAUAAUCUCAUUUUUUUCCUCUAAAUCCAAGCCUGUAUGAAAUAUUAAUUUCGUCAACAAGUGGAGAAAAUGCCACCGUGGAUCUGUUCUCCGAUGGUGUACCUGGUAUGAAGAGAGAAGCCUGUCGAGAGGGGCCAUGAACAUCAGCCUGGUUUAUUAGCUGCACAGGCUUUUUUCCUUUGUUUCUUUUCAUUUAAUUCAAAGUGAAACAACUCAGCAUGCAAAACUAAAAUUAGCUGGGAAAAAAGGUGUAAGUGAAUAAACAGGCAGAUCCAUUAGACUCGAUGGGUUAUCGGAUCCCUUGCCACUCCUCAGACAGCGGCCUAUUAAAAGUGGUAAUGUUCGCUGCCGGCGGCGCCCCUGGCAAAGAAAGAAGGCCAAGGCAGGCCUAUUUCACAUGCAUCAGACACAAGAAUUAAAUAGACCAAUGUUCCCUAAAAGACUGAAGUACAUCUCUUUCUGACGUUCAUCUCAGGCAAAAAUUCAUUGAUCUCAGUAUGUCCCUUGGCAAUUAUAAAAUAUUAAAUCCAAGUCACACUUUUCUAGUUGGCUUAAUUUUUUCUCUUUUCACAGCUUUCUAUUUGAUCAAUUUUAACAAGUUAGGAAUAGCAUCUAAUAAUAAAAAGUGCAGAGUUUAAAAGUUUGUUCUUUCGACCUUCUUGCCUUUUUAAAAAUUUUGUUUGGGGUUUGCCUUAACUUUGCGCUAUAUAAAAUGACUCGAAUGCUCUCUUAACAAACAAAAGAACAUGAGGGAGCCAGAAGGUUCUUUAUGGAGAAUGAUGUUCAUUAGUAAGCAUCCAAUGAUAAGGAAAGACAGCCUGAUUUAAAGUUUCGUUGUUUUGGGGUUUUUUUUAAGCACAUGCCCAAAUAACCUUCUUAUUGUUUUGUAGUCAUGAAUGCUGCUCCCCCCGUCCCAAAACUACCAUGUGGUUUCAGCUGGGAGUAUCUGGUAGGGCUAGAGGUUUGGCUGUUCCAUGGAGAUUUACAAAAGAUGCAAAUUCCUUUCCCCAUUUUUAUGCAUAUGUAAUUUUUUAGCGUUUGAUGUUUGUUAUUUCAGAAUAUAACAUAAAUGCUAGCAUAGACACACGAUAAAAAUGCAGAAUUUGGGGAGCCCAUUUUCAUUAGACUAUCGGUAUGGGAAUUAUUGGGAGGAAAAAAUUGCAUAAUAGUAACUUUAUUCUCCAAUUCUCCUUUGCCAUAAACUAUGAGAACAUUCCCCUCCAAUUUAUAAUGUAUCAUAUAUAUAAUCAUUUUAUGUGAAAUAAUAAAUUCUCUGAAAUAAAAUCUACGAUGAUCUCCCUGCAUUUAAGUUUUUCACAUGGGAAGAGUUGUUUAUCGGUCAUCCCCCUAUACCGAUUCCUUUAUUAAAAGCUUAUUUAUAUUAUGUCAUUUAAUUCUUAAACCCAUAGGUCCUUGUAUUGUUUCCACUUUUCAGAUGAGAAGUGCAAGGGGUCCAUGAUUAGCCAACAACUUCCCUCUCUGGCCAGCCAGGCCAGACCCUCUGGGGUUUUUACCCCCUGAUCAGAAAGAAAGGGAGAAAGAAGGUCAGGGUAGAGAGGGAGAAGCCUGGGGGAUAGUGCUGAGAAGGGUUGAAAAGAGGGAGCCACUGCUUCACGCCAGGGAGGAAGCAGGUUCAGGGGCAGUGCUGCGAUCUGCGAAUCUCCAGACUAUUUGAAAAAGGUCAGGAUGGAACUUGGCUUACUUUGCAAUUACAUUUAGGUUGGUGGAUUGUGUUUCUUUGUCUGAGACUCUGCCCUGAGACUGGACCACAUGGGUGAUGGCUUUAUAAUUACUAAGGUGGUUUCAAAAGGCCGAUUACAAACACGGUUUCAAAGAGAAUUCAAAAUAGAGUUGGAGCACGGGGAUGAGGAUGCUCUAAGCCUGGUGGCUUCUGGGCUCCUAAUAGGUGUUGCCUGGGUCUCUAAAGGGGUACCAGAUGCAAAAUUUUCAGCACAGUCUCUGCAGCUGCCAUUGUCAUUCUCCUCCUAUGCCUGUUUUUCCUUCAUGCCCCCUCCUCUCUCUGAGAUGGCAGGAAGAGACUCUUCUUCUUUUUUUGUCUUGUCUUUUUUUUUUUUUUUUCUUUUUUGGCUGUUCCUGUGGCAUGCAGAAGUUCUCAGGCCAGGGGAUCAAACCCAUGCCACAGCAGUAAUCAGAGCCACAGCGGUGGCAAUGGCAGAUCCCCAACCUGCUGUGCCACCAGGGAACUCCAAAAAGAGACUUCUUGAGGAGAUGAUUAGUGCCCUAGGGGCCCAAACUGUGCCAUGAGCCAUCUUUUAUAGUGGUCCAAGCAGUGGCCUGCUGUGGGACCCUGAACCCUGGGCCAGCAGAGUAUACGAUCAUGAUGGGCUCACCUACUUCUGUGUCUCCUACAGUGGUGCUCCCUUUCUGGGUCACUAGUCCCCUUUCAGGUCUGCUUCCUCAUCUGCAUGCUGAGACCAUUUUUUAUCACUCUAGCACCUGGAACAUGACUUGACCCAGAGCAGGUGUCCAGGAAGGAUGGAUGGACAGGUGGGUGGAUGGAUGGAUGGACAGAAUAGCAGAUGACUGCGACUGUCUCAUAAAAUCAUGUCAGGGAGAGUUCCCAUUGUGGCUCAGUGCUUAACGAACCCAACAAACAUCCAUGAGGAUGCGGGUUCGAUCCCUGACCUCACUCAGUGGGUUAAGGAUCCGGCAUUGCCAUGGGCUCUGGUAUAGGUUGCAGACAUGGCUUGGAUCUGGUGGUGCUGUGGCUGUGGUAUAGACCAGCAGCUACAGCUCUGAUUGGCCCCCUAGCCUGGGAACCUCCAUAUGCUGUGGGUGCAGCCCUAAAAAGACAAAACAACACCAACAACAAAGUGAUGUCAGGAAUUGAAUAGGCUAUCCAAGGAGUAUCAGUGGUUUUUGAAAGAACUAGUGUUGACAAAAGUAAUCAAUGGGCAAUCCAUAACAGGAAUAGAAAAAACACAGGUUUAUAUCUUGUCAGAACAAAGAACUAUAAACAAGUCAGGGAUACAUUCCUUCAAGGUUUAAAAAAGAACCACAGGGAGUUUCUGUUGUGCCUCGGGGUAAUGAACCCAACUAGUAUUCAUGAGCUUUCGGGUUCAAUCCCUGGUCCUGCUCAGUGGGCUAAGGAUCUGGUGUUGCUAUGGCUGUGGCGUAGGCCAGCAGCUGCAGCUCCUAUUCGAUCCCUAGCCUGGGAACCUCUAUAUGCCACAUACGUGGCCCUAA